GAUGAACGCUGGCGGCGUGCCUAAUACAUGCAAGUCGAGCGAACAGACGAGGAGCUUGCUCCUCUGACGUUAGCGGCGGACGGGUGAGUAACACGUGGAUAACCUACCUAUAAGACUGGGAUAACUUCGGGAAACCGGCGCUAAUACCGGAUAAUAUAUUGAACCGCAUGGUUCAAUAGUGAAAGACGGUUUUGCUGUCUCUUAUAGAUGGAUCCUCGCCGCAUUAGAUAGUUGGUAAGGUAACGGCUUACCAAGGCAACGAUGCGUAGCCGACCUGAGAGGGUGACAGGCCACACUGGAACGGAGGCACGGUCAAGACACAUAAGGAACGACGCAGUAGGGAAUAUUCCGCAAUGGGCGAAAGCCUGACGGAGCAACGCAGCGUGAGUGAUGAAGGUCUUCGGCACGUAAAGCUCUGUUAUUAGGGAAGAACAAAUGUGUAAGUACCUAAGCACGUCUUAACGGUACCUAAUCAGAAAGCCACGGCUAACUACGUG
rnacentral:rRNA from 1 species